rnacentral:misc_RNA from 1 species
UGCUUGAAAUGCAGGUGCAGCUGGACAUUCUUCUGAGCUAAAAGCAUAUUUAUUUAGUCCCGUCAAACGGAUUAUUAUUCUUGCUUCAGCUUACAUAAAGGUUGAAUGACUACCAAGGCUGAUUGCAGGUAAACUCGUUCCGUAAAAAAAGAACUUGUAAACUCGAUCUCAAAUCAAGUAAGACUACCCGCUGAACUUAA